rnacentral:rRNA from 1 species
UGCCAGCAGCCGCGGUAAGACAGAGGGUGCGAACGUUGCUCGGAAUCACUGGGCGUAAAGCGCGUGUAGGCUGGAGGGCAAGUCAGGUGUGAAAUCCCUGGGCUCAACCCAGGAACUGCAUCUGAAACUGCCCACCUUGAGUGCUGGAGAGGGAAGCGGAAUUCCUGGUGUAGAGGUGAAAUUCGUAGAUAUCAGGAGGAACACCUGCGGCGAAGGCGGCUUCCUGGACAGUUACUGACGCUGAGACGCGAAAGCGUGGGGAGCAAACAGGAUUAGAUA